GACGAACGCUGGCGGCGUGCUUAACACAUGCAAGUCGAACGGAAAGACCAGGCUUUUGCUCUUCUCACGUUGCGAACGGGCGGGUGAGUCACGCGUGGAUAACCCUCCUCUUAGACUUAGAUAACUUCGAGAAGCCGGAACUACUACCAGAUGCCAUAUUUAACCUCAUGGUUCGAUAGUGAAAUCCGGGUUUGCUGAGCUCUCUACAUAGCACCGCGCUGCAUGAGCUAGUUGGUACGGUAACGGCUUACCAUGGCAACGAUGCGUAGCCGACCUGACAGGGUGAUCGGCCACACUGGAAGUGAGACACGGUCCAGACUCCUACGGGAGGCAGCAGUAGGGAAUCUUCCGCAAUGGGGGGAAGCCUGACGGAGCAACGCCACGUGAGUGAUGAGAGUCUUCGGAGCGGAAAACUCUGUUAUGAGGGAAGAACAAAUGCGUAAGUAACUAUGCACGUCGUGACGGUACCUAGUCAGAAAGCCACGGCUAACUACGUG
rnacentral:rRNA from 1 species